CCUGACACCCAUUAGGCUCAGCAAAUUACCUGGGCUGUACUGCCGCAAGGCUUCACAGACAGCCCCCAUUACUUCAGUCAAGCCCAAAUUUCAUCCUCAUCUGUUACCUAUCUCGGCAUAAUUCUCAUAAAAACACACGUGCUUUCCCUGCUGAUCAUGUCCGAUUAAUCUCCCAAACCUCAAUCCCUUACAAAACAACAACUCCUUUCCUUCCUAGGCAUGGUUAGUGCGGUCAGAAUUCUUACACAAGAGCCAGG
rnacentral:lncRNA from 10 species